GAUGGUUCCGAUCAGCAGGAGGCAGUCUUGCAGAUGCUCACCUUGCUGGAAGAAGAGGAAUGGCAGGACCAGUUGGAGCUCCCAGGAGACCCAUGAAAAUCAAGACGGCCCAAUUCCACGAUCUUCCUCCUAUUUCUUCUCCUAUAUUCCACCUUCAGACCUUCGACAAUCCAACCUGGACUUCACCACCAGACUUGUCAUUGCGUAAGCCGUUUUGUGACCUUCUAGGGAUCUCAGUUUCCUCAUGAUGAUAAUGGAGCCUGCUCCAUAGAGUUGGAUUUGAUAAAGCACCAAGUCCUUCAAGCUUGGUGCUUUAUCAAGGGCUUGGCACAGACCAGGGGAACUACUGGGAGGGGGGGGUGAUAUUAGGUAAUUGAGGCUUAGUUUAGUACAAAAUCUUCUCCUGAAGGAGGGUCAGGUGGAGAGAGGAGAGCAGGAGGCAGGGCUUGGUGGGAAGAGUAGCAUUUCCUGAGGAGGCUGCUCUCACAUUCAUGGCUUUCCACUUGUCACUGUUUGCCUUGACCUCAGCACUUUAUUUCCUUAGGUGUGAGCUCUUCCAGCUACUUCAGUUGUCCCUGGAGCCCUAGGCUGUCAGACAACAAGCCCUGACAGAGUAGCUGCUCCCCGAUCUCGUCA